ACUAUUUGUCAAAGGUUUGAAGAGCCCCAAAUUUACUUAACUCUAUAUAAAAAUUAAGUUGUAAUGAGCUGUUACGAGUAACCUGUACCCAGAAUAGAAACCCAAAGCAGCCCCCUCUGCAUUUGUGUGCGGUCCCUGGACAGAUUCGAGUCAACCAGGCCUGCUUCUGAGCCAUUCCUGUGUAUUUCCUCAGCACCCCCCGGCUUGGCUGCUUCCCCUUCAGGCAGAACACAGUACUGCCUCAGACCCCAGGCACAGGGGGCCUUCCUGAGGUGUUUCACUCAUACAGAGGGCAUUGGGUCCCAUCCUGUCAUUCAUUUCGUCAUCUAAAAUGUAAUCAGUGAGUGUUUGUCUCGAGCCAGAGACAGUGCUGCUGCAGGGGACCCAGCUGGGACCAAGGCAGACUGUGUCUCCCCUCCUGGGAUUUACAGGGUCAUGGCUCUGAAACAUUCUGUAGUGUUCUCUGGACACGAGUUUUCCCUGGAGACCGCUUUCUGCAGGCCUCUUGGUCCUGACUGUGGCUUCUUUUCAGAGCCUGCCAUUCGCUGCAAGGUUGAACACCCCCAUGGGCCCUGGACGAACUGUCGUCAUUAAAGGAGAAGUGAAUGCAAAUGCCAAAAGCUUUAAUGUUGACCUACUAGCAGGAAAAUCAAAGGAUAUUGCUCUACACUUGAACCCACGCCUGAAUAUUAAAGCAUUUGUAAGAAAUUCUUUUCUUCAGGAGUCCUGGGGAGAAGAAGAGAGAAAUAUUACCUCUUUCCCAUUUAGUCCUGGGAUGUACUUUGAGAUGAUAAUUUAUUGUGAUGUUAGAGAAUUCAAGGUUGCAGUAAAUGGCGUACACAGCCUGGAGUACAAACACAGAUUUAAAGAGCUCAGCAGUAUUGACACGCUGGAAAUUAAUGGAGACAUCCACUUACUGGAAGUAAGGAGCUGGUAGCCUACCUACACAGCUGCUACAAAAACCGAAAUACAGAAUGGCUUCUGUGAUACUGGCCUUGCUGAAACGCAUCUCACUGUCAUUCUAUUGUUUAUACUGUUAAAAUGAGCUUGUGCACCGUUAGGUCCUGCUGG
rnacentral:sRNA from 1 species